GGGUCCCCAACCCCUGGGCCACAGACCGAUAGCGGUCCGUGGCCUGUUCGGAACCGGGCCGCACAGCAGGAGGUGAGUGGUGGACAAACCAGUGAAGCUUCAGCUGUAUUUACAGCCACUCCCCAUCGCUCGCAUUACCACCUGAGCUCCACUUCCUGUCAGCAUUAUGGGAUGUCAGCUGAUGCCUAGAUGGAAAUUUGCCGAACGCUUCUCGUAUCUGAGGCGGAGAGGAGAGUAAAUUCCAGAACACCUGAUCUCAUCACCGAGCCGGAUGAGUUUGGAAUUCAGGAUCCUAAGGCUGCAGAGGGCGGAACGGUGCACGGCGUGUACGAAAGAGCACCCGGGAGGAGUUGGAGGUGGCUCCACAAUCAGACACACGGAUCUAGAUGCCGCCGAACGAGUGACUUGGCCCUGUGAACUCGGAGGGGAAACAAGGGAGGAAAUAGAGGGCCUGUUAUUUCAUCAAAGCAGAAAAAAGCAACACU